GCAACUCUAAAAUGUGCAGUUUUGUUCCACAACAUAAUGCCACAGAUGUCUCAAGUUUUGAGGGAGCGUGCAAUUGGCCUGCUGACUGCUAGAAUGUUCACCAGAGCUGUUGCCGAAGAAUUGAAUAUUAAUUUCUCUACCAAUGCCAUUUUAGAGAAUUUGGCAGUACGCCUCAAAACCGAAGACCAAGUGUAACCCUGCCAGCCCAGGACCUCCACAUCCGGCAUCUUCACCUGCGGGAUCGUCUGAUACCAUCCACCCGGACAGCUGACGAAACUGGGGUUGCACCAAAGAAUUUCUGCACAAAUGGUCAAAACCUGUCUCAGGAAAGCUCAUCUGCGUGCUUGUUGUCCUCACCAGGGUCUCCACCGUUGGCACGCUGGAGAAGUGUGCUCUUCAGGGAUGAAUCCCGGUUUCAAUUGUAUCGGUGUGUGGGCGAGCGGUUUGCUGUUGUCAACAUUGUCAACAGAGUGCCCCAUGGUGGCGGUGGGGUUAUGGUAUGGGCAGGCAUAAGCUAUGGACAAUGAACACAAUUGCAUUUUACCGAAGGCAAUUUGAAUGCACAGAGAUACUGUGACGAGAUCCUGAGGCCCAUUGUUGUGCCAUUCAUCCGCCACCAUCACCUCAUGUUUCAGCAUGAUAAUGCAUGGAUGGCCACAUGUCGCAAGGAUCUGUACACAAUUCCUGGAACGUGAAAAUGUCCCAGUUCUUCCAUGGCCUGCAUACUCGCCAGACAUGUCACCCAUUGAGCAAGUUUGGGAUGCUCUGGAUCGACAAGUACAACAGCGUGUUCCAGUCCCCGCCAAUAUCGAGCAACAUCACACAGCCAUUGAAGUGGAGUUUUAUUUAGUUUUAUUUAGCACCCCAGUAUUUCUACUUGCACAUCCUCAUCUGCACAUAUAUCACUCCAGUGUAAAUUGCUAAAUUGUAAUUAAUUCACCACUAUGGCCUAUUUAUUGCCUUACCUCCUCACUUCAUUUGCACACACUGUAUACAGUGAAGCCUACCUGUAUACAGAAAAGCCUACCUGAUUAAAUAAAGGUGAAAAUAAUAAUAAUAAUAAUAAUAAUAAAUAAAUAAAAAUAUAUAUAUAUUUAUAUAUAUAUAUAUAUAUAUAUAUAUAUAUAUAUAUAUUAUUUUAUUUUUUUUUUUCACCUUUAUUUAAUCAGGUAGGCUAGUUGAGAACAAGUUCUCAUUUACAACUGCAACCUGGCCAAGAUAAAGCUAAGCAGUGUGACAAAAACAACAGUUACACAUGGGAUAAACAAUCAUACAGUCAAUAACACAGAAAAAUCUGUAUACAGUGUGUGCAAAUGAAGUGAGGAGGUAAGGCAAUAAAUAGGCCAUAGUGGUGAAUUAAUUACAAUUUAGCAAUUUACACUGGAGUGAUAUAUGUGCAGAUGAGGAUGUGCAAGUAGAAAUACUGGGGUGCAAAAGAGCAGAAAAACAAAUAUGGGGAUGAGGUAGGUGGUUGGUUGGUUGGAUGCGCUAUUUACAGAUGGGUUGUGUACAGCUGCAGCGAUCGGUAAGCUGCUCUGACAGCUGACGCUUAAUGAGGGAGAUAUUUGUCUCCAGUGGGACAACAUUCCACAGGCCACAAUCAACAGCCUGAUCAACUCUAUGGGAAGGAGAUGUGUCGUGCUGCAUGAGGCAAUUGGUGGUCACACCAGAUACUGACUGGUUUUCUGAUCCACUCCCCUACCUUUUUUUUAAGGUAACUGUGACCAACAGAUGCAUAUCUGUAUUCCCAGUUAUGAAAUCCAUAGAUUAGGGC
ensembl:lncRNA